CGCCUUAGCACGAGUUUGUGUGACCAUCUUCAACGCGAAAGAGAAGACAAGAUAAAUACUCUGGUCUUCGCUUACUGUAACUACUCCAAUUCCAAAUGCACAUACACAGUGCUGUGUGGAGCACAAACAACUAUUAAAUGGAUAAACAAUUAAGAAGCUUAAGAUCCUUCUUGUAGAAGAAGCAUCCAAUGAAUUCACUUUACGAUCUGAAUCUCCGAAAUGCACUUUUCACACUUUCAUUAUUAUGAAGCUAAUUCGUCUGCGCCAGAGGACCUUUAUCCUCUCUCUGCUAUCUCUCUCCGUUAUCGCUCCUCUCAUUUUCCUCGGAAGAAGAGAGUUCCUUGAAGAUUUGUAUCGUGUUACAUACCAGACAGAUACUUUGAAGUUAAAUUCUGUAGAACAGAUUCGAGAAGGUGCUGGAGAAUUAGAAGAGCCAAAUCAAGUUGUUUAUAAACAAAAAGAUGUUGUUUCAACUAUUAAUUACAGUUCAAUCAAGAAUAAUGAUUCUGAGGAAUCUAGAAUUGCAGCAUUGGAAAUAAAUGGUUGGUAUAUGCAGCCAUUUUCAGGAGUCAACCAUGAUGAAAGACAAGACCAGGAUGCUCAGAAAGAAGAUUUAUCCUCCAUACAUGAAGAUACAAAUGUACACGCUGUUCCACAUAAAACGUCGAAGGAGAAUAUUAAAGUGACCAAUAGGCCAUCAGGUCGAAUAGCAGACGGUCAUCAUAUUUUAAACUCUCCCUCUAAUGAAGGGAAAAGUCAGAAGGUUGAAGAGAUUAAGGAUCAAAUUUUAAUGGCUAAAGUAUACUUGAAGUUUGCACCACCAAGCAGCAACUCACGCUUGAAGCGGCUGGAGCUGCAAAUGAAAGAGAUGGAGCGAGCAGUAGAAGGAGCCACCCGGGAUUUAGAUUUGUCAAGGAGUGUUUUGCAGAAAAUGAGACACAUGGAGGCCUCACUAUCAAGUGUCGGUCGUGCUUUCUCAGACUGUUCUAUGGUUGCUAAGCUUCAAGCAGUGAAGCACAAAACUGAAGAGCAAGUUCGUUUUCAGAGAAGGCAAGCAACAUAUCUUGUUCAACUUGCUGUAAGGACUGCCCCAAAAGGCUUUCACUGUCUUUCCAUGCGGCUGACUGCUGAAUAUUUUGCCCUGAGGCCGGAGGAGAGAAAGCUUCCAAAUGAAAAUAUGAUUCAUCAUCCAGAACUUUAUCAUUAUGCUGUCUUCUCUGACAAUGUUUUGGCAUGUGCGGUCGUUGUUAACUCUACUGUGUCUACUGCCAAGGAACCAGAGAAACUUGUUUUCCAUAUAGUGACCAAUUCACUCUACUUGCCAGCAAUCUCAAUGUGGUUCUUAAUAAACUCUCCCGGCAAAGCGACAGUCCAUAUACAGAAUAUAGACAAUUUUGAAUGGUUGUCGAAAUACAAUCCCUUUGGUAAAAUUAAUAACGGCGAUCCAGGAUACACUUCUGAAUUGAACUACUUGCUUUUCUAUCUGCCAGACAUUUUCCCUGCCCUAAAUAAGAUUGUGAUCUUUGAUCAUGAUGUUGUGGUUCAACAAGAUCUCAGUGGACUAUGGAAUGCCAAUAUGAAGGAAAAUGUUAUAGGAGCAGUUGGAACUUGUCAGGAAGGCAAAACCCCAUUUCAUAGGAUUGAUACGUUCAUAAACUUCUCAGAUCCAUUAAUUGGAGAGAGUUUUGAUGUCAAUACUUGCACAUGGGCAUUUGGGAUGAAUUUGUUUGAUUUGCAACAAUGGAGGAGACAUAAUUUAACUGCCGCGUAUCACAAAUAUUUGCAAAUGGGUUCGAAGAAGCCAUUGUGGAAUUGGAACUUUAGACGUCUGCCUUUAGGUUGGCUCACCUUCUAUAACAAGACAGAGUUGUUGGACAGACGAUGGCACAUUCUUGGCCUUGGUCAUAACUCAGGAGUCGAUCGAAAUGAGAUUGAGCAGGCUGCCGUUAUACACUUCGAUGGGAUUAGGAAGCCAUGGCUAGAUAUUGCAAUGGGCAGAUAUAAAAGUUAUUGGACCAAAUUUUUGGAUUUUGACCACCCUUUUCUGCAACAGUGCAAUCUCCAGGCGUAGUUCAAAACCCAAAACUGUUCUUCGGGACCUGGCUUCCUCUGUUGUUGACAAGUUUGGUAGCACACGUUAAUUGCUUGAUUCACUUUAUUCUUUCUGCAAUUCUUGUUGUAUAGAUAUCUCCAUGCCUCUCAAAAAUGUUCUCUCUAAUUUACUGUUACAAUCAAAGAUAAAUAAGGGUCAGCGAGGAGUGUUUUUUCUUGGGAGUCUACACUCUACAUAGUGGCUCUCUUAAUUUUGUGCCGGACGUUCUUUGUUAUUUUGUUCUAUGUGCCAACUGGGAGCUGUACUAUUGUUUACAUAGAAGAACAAAUUUACAGAUUAGAGGUGAUGCCUGCAUUUUGAAUUGUUCUGUGAGGAUGAUUUGAUCUUUAAUCUUUACAUAAUGGAAAGGAAAGACCACUGCAUAACCUUUCAAAUAGCUAAGACCAAUUGAACCUAGGACGACCGAAGAUCAGAAGCAAAACUGGACACAGCCAAAGGUUAGAAAGGUUUGGAAUGGCUGAAGAGGGCUGUUGUUAAAUCUCUCAACAUUGUAGAGGAAAGGAGAAGCUUAGACUUAUUAUGUGGGGGAAAUAUUGGCCAUGAAACGGAUUACUUGACACGUGGAAAAAAGCUAUUGGAGCAGUGCAGAUAAGGAUAUCCAACCAUGAGCUUCAAAUCUAUCCUUGUUUUGUGGUGCAUGGACAACCUUUGCACUGAUAUUAUUAUUUUGACAACUUCACCUACGCUUUAGUACCCCUGUCACAAGUGUAGUUUGAUCAUACUCCAUAA